UACGUAGGGGGCAAGCGUUGUCCGGAUUUAUUGGGCGUAAAGAGCGUGUAGGCGGCCAGGUAGGUCAGCUGUGAAAACUCGAGGCUCAACCUCGAGACGCCGGUUGAAACCAUCUGGCUAGAGUCCGGAAGAGGAGAGUGGAAUUCCUGGUGUAGCGGUGAAAUGCGCAGAUAUCAGGAAGAACACCCGUGGCUAAGGCGGCUCUCUAGUACGGUACUGACGCUGAGACGCGAAAGCCAGGGGAGCAAACGGG
rnacentral:rRNA from 1 species